AUCUGAGUUUCUACUUCAAAUACAAUAUUUUUCUUAAAUUGUCAGAGUAAAAUUCAAUAGCUCCAUUUGGAAUUGGUUCAUACAUUGUGCACUUUAUUAUUAUUAUUAUUUUAAACACAAAUUGUAUAAGACACUGAUCUUUUUUGUGUUUGUUGAGUACAACUGUGGCUGCAUCCAUACUGAAGAAAUAAUCCAGUUUGACAUCACUUUAAUUGCCAUAGUUCAUUGGUAUGUAAUUCUGGGAAUUGUAGUUUUAUGAGACAUUUAGCCUUCUCUGUCCAAGUGGUGUUGAAUUGGGUUAUUUCUGCUGUGCCAGUGCAGCCUCUGUUGACUAAUCUACUAUUCUUUAGCCUUUUGGUCUUAUUGAUGUUGGUUUUCUGAUACAUGUGUGUAUAGCCAUGUGAGCAUGUGUAUAGAUUUUGCUAAAAGAAAUGUGAGUCUGUGGAUUCUGUGUGUUUGUGCUCCUUUGGGGAACAUAAAUAUAUUAUCUUUGAGAACAAUGGACAUAAAACAGUGUCCUUUUUAAAAAAAUAGUUACAUGUGUCUUCUGCUUUUGUUGUUGUUGAUAAACCCAUCCAGAAACAGGAUCCAAAUAGCUUGCUUUAGCAAUAGCAAGCUUUUAUUUCAUAUUUUUCUAAAGGAGGAUGUUUUAGUCAUGACUGAACUGAUGAAAAAAAUAAUGACUUAUCAAAAAAACAGCCAUUAUAAUGUUUCAUAUGUACAGGUCACACACAGACUAAUUUGAGUUCUUGGAUAAACUGUUCUUUAUUUUGUAACUUUUUUUGACUAGCUACUCCAGGAUUUUGAUUUGAGUCUUAAUACCUUUUGACAUCUCAUCAGGCUUCUAGCAGCUUACAGACUAGAACUAACUGAAGUUCCUGAAUGUGAGAAUUUAACCUCAGCCUCCAAACCAAAUGCAUUAGUCAUGUGAUGUGUCUCAUUAUUUAUUUAUUCAAUUUAGAUGUGCCUUGUUUUUAUUCUAGCAAGUCCUCAGUCCUGGAUAGAAUUACUUCUCAAUAGGCAUACAAAAGAUUGUGCAGGAAAGCUAUCACUGUAGGAGAUGCUUGUUACUUAAUUUACAGUACUCCUUUUGUAAAUGUUUUGAUUAGUUUGAAGAGACUACAGCAAGUGUUCUACAUGUAAAUAUUUUCCCUGGGACCUGUUCAGGUGCAACCUUUCCAUUAGUCCAAACCAUAGCUUUUUUGGGACUCCCAGAACAUCCAAUCAGCAUAGCCACCCUGGAUUUUGGAAGGUAUAGUCCCUAAAUAAUAUUUUUUUUGGUUCAGUCCCUUACUUACAAUAAGAUGGAGACAGGUCUUUGGCUUGUUUCUAUCCAGCACACGUUAACAUUUAUAUCUCUGUUGGCAGGUUCUGUAGUUAUUCUAGUUUAGAAUCUGACUGACCCUGCAGUGUAGACCUUUGGUUAUGAUAAGGAACUCCUCUUGUAGCUGUUGCAUUCUGUGUCUGCUGACUAAUAUGUCCAUGUGUCCUUUGCAGACAACAGUUCUUUGCCCGACAGUUCUGAAUGUGAAGGUGUCUUUUAUUGAACUGUUGUUUAAAAAUAAAGAUAAUCAUAGGAAGGGAGAGCAAGUGCUUUGAAAUUGACCCUCAACCAUUUUGACAUGGGCAAGAGGCCCCUGGUCCAAAUCUUUCUCAUUGCACUGAGAUGUUUUAUAUUUCCAUUUAAAUGAUGGUAACUAUUUUGAGAGCUUGCAUUCAUAGGUUCACCAUAGGUCAAAAUCGACUUGAUCACAAAUAAUAACAAAUUAUUUUGAAAUAUGAUAGAGUGAUAUAAAUUGCAAACACAGAUUGUAUGCAAAUCUUUGUUUUUGUUGGCUUUUUUUUUUUUUUCAUUUUUGGUAAUGAUUACAGUUGGUUCUCCGUAUCUGUGGGAUUCCGUUCUGGAGAUAUCUCAAGGUAGAGGGCCAACUGUAAUGGGCCACCCUCCUGCUGAGUGAUGAAUACCUCACACCUAUGCAGAGUCAAGACAUGUUCUCUUUCAAGCUUAAAUCUGGGGUUUCUGUAAUUAUUAUUAUAUUUUUAAUGUAUUCUUGUAAGUAGAUUCAAUUAAAGGCAGCACUGGUCCUGCCAAAUAGAUAUGGAUAUGAUAGGGCAAUGCAUGUUGGAACUUGGGUAUAAAAUGUAUCUUGUUUUACCCACACAUUUUAUUCAGUGGUUAAUUUUUACCUAGAUUGAUGGUCCAGUUUCAGAAAGCUUCAGUCAAGACUGAAUAUACUUAACACGAUUACUUAGAACACUUUGAAGCAGGCAGUAUGGCAUCAAGCACUGACCUACAGAUCCUAUCAAAGGAGGCACAGAUCUAGCAUGCAAGUGUUUUAUUCAUACAGACAUGACAGCACAUUUGAAAGAAGAACAACUGAAAAAAGCUAUUCCUCUUGGAAGAUUUGGGGAGCCUCAUGAAGUUGCCAAAGCUGUUACGUUUCUUCUGGAGUCUCCAUAUGUAACAGGUCAUGUUCUUGUUGUAGAUGGAGGUUUGCAACUUUUGAUUUAAAAGCUGUAAUAGCAUAAUCUUUAAUUACAGAAAAAAAUAGUAAUUGAAAGGAAACUGGGAUACCUCUUUUGACAUUACUUGAAAUCAAGGUAGUGCAAUUUGUGGGUAUAUUUACAGAUAAACUUUAAAUUAUGUGCUUAUAUUACCUUGUGGAUUUAGAUAAAUUGAUUCUCAUUAGACAUCUAAUAAAAAAUUGCGAUUUCAGGUU